rnacentral:rRNA from 1 species
GACGAACGCUGGCGGCGUGCUUAACACAUGCAAGUCGAACGGAAAGGCCCUGCUUUUGUGGGGUGCUCGAGUGGCGAACGGGUGAGUAACACGUGAGUAACCUGCCCUUGACUUUGGGAUAACUUCAGGAAACUGGGGCUAAUACCGGAUAGGAGCUCCUGCUGCAUGGUGGGGGUUGGAAAGUUUCUGCGGUUGGGGAUGGACUCGGGGCUUAUCAGCUUGUUGGUGGGGUAGUGGCUUACCAAGGCUUUGACUGGUAGCCGGCCUGAGAGGGUGACCGGCCACAUUGGGACUGAGAUACGGCCCAGACUCCUACGGGAGGCAGCAGUGGGGAAUAUUGCACAAUGGGCGGAAGCCUGAUGCAGCAACGCCGCGUGCGGGAUGACGGCCUUCGGGUUGUAAACCGCUUUCGCCUGUGACGAAGCGUGAGUGACGGUAAUGGGUAAAGAAGCACCGGCUAGCUACGUG